CCGACCCGACCUCGUCCUUCAACGAUCCGAGCCACCUUCAGCUCCUUCAUCGACCCAGAACAGCCUCGAUCGACCACGACCACGAACUCCUUCAGCGAGCUCAUUCAAUGACCUGACCACGAACUCAUUCUCCCACCUGAGCUCGUCAUUGUCCGACUUGAGCCGGCUUGAGGUAGUUCUCCGAUCGCCACCAUCGUAGUGGGGAGUUUGAAGGCUAGGACCUAUUAAUUUGGAAUCAAAAAAGUAAAAUCAAAAUGCCGUGAAACAGGAACUGUGUUGUUUGGUGGUGUUGCUCCGCGCCAUACUGUAAUUGUAUUCACUCGGUGGGUUUGCUUUGAAGAGAAAAAUUGCAGGACAAUGAUUGGAAGAAGAAUUCAGUGUUCAGCACAAGCACCACCUCCAGCUUGGCUAGGAAGUGCUUUUCCGGAGCCGGGCCAGAGGACUUGAGAUGGUCCAAAAGCCUAGUUCUGUUGUUGGAUCUACUGGUUCCAUUGGAACCCAGACAUUGGACAUUGUUGCAGAGAACCCGAAAAAAUUCAGAGUUGUGGCCCUAGUAGCUGGCUCAAAUGUGUAUCUUCUUGUUGAUCAGGUAAUCCAUCAGAUGGAUAAAAUUUCAUAGAAUUGUUCAUAUUGUCAUCUGAUCAGUGAGGGAUUCAAAGAAUAAAGCUGGUCAAGGAGGCCGUGGGGGUGGAAGUGGAUAUGGAUAUGGGCGAGG